GAUGAACGCUGGCGGCGUGCCUAAUACAUGCAAGUCGAGCGAACGGACGAGAAGCUUGCUUCUCUGAUGUUAGCGGCGGACGGGUGAGUAACACGUGGAUAACCUACCUAUAAGACUGGGAUAACUUCGGGAAACCGGAGCUAAUACCGGAUAAUAUUUUGAACCGCAUGGUUCAAAAGUGAAAGACGGUCUUGCUGUCACUUAUAGAUGGAUCCGCGCCGCAUUAGCUAGUUGGUAAGGUAACGGCUUACCAAGGCAACGAUGCAUAGCCGACCUGAGAGGGUGAUCGGCCACACUGGAACUGAGACACGGUCCAGACUCCUACGGGAGGCAGCAGUAGGGAAUCUUCCGCAAUGGGCGAAAGCCUGACGGAGCAACGCCGCGUGAGUGAUGAAGGUCUUCGGAUCGUAAAACUCUGUUAUUAGGGAAGAACAAAUGUGUAAGUAACUAUGCACGUCUUGACGGUACCUAAUCAGAAAGCCACGGCUAACUACGUG
rnacentral:rRNA from 1 species